rnacentral:rRNA from 1 species
GACGAACGCUGGCGGCGUGCUUAACACAUGCAAGUCGAACGGAAAGGCCCUGCUUUUGUGGGGUGCUCGAGUGGCGAACGGGUGAGUAACACGUGAGUAACCUGCCCUUGACUUUGGGAUAACUUCAGGAAACUGGGGCUAAUACCGGAUAGGAGCUCCUGCUGCAUGGUGGGGGUUGGAAAGUUUCGGCGGUUGGGGUUGGACUCGCGGCUUAUCAGCUUGUUGGUGGGGUAGUGGCUUACCAAGGCUUUGACGGGUAGCCGGCCUGAGAGGGUGACCGGCCACAUGGGGACUGAGAUACGCACCAGACGCCUACGGGAGGCAGCGGGGGGGAAUAUUGCACAAUGGGCGGAAGCCUGAUGCAGCAACGCCGCGGGCGGGAUGACGGCCUGCGGGUUGUAAACCGCUUUCGCCUGUGACGAAGCGUGAGUGACGGUAAUGGGUAAAGAAGCACCGGCUAACUACGUG